rnacentral:rRNA from 1 species
AUUGAACGCUGGCGGCAUGCUUUACACAUGCAAGUCGAUCGGUAACAGGGUGCUUGCACCGCUGACGAGUGGCGAACGGGUGAGUAAUGCGUCGGAACGUGCCGAGUAGUGGGGGAUAACGCAGCGAAAGUUGUGCUAAUACCGCAUACGUACUGAGGUAGAAAGUGGGGGACCUUCGGGCCUCACGCUAUUCGAGCGGCCGACGUCUGAUUAGCUAGUAGGUGAGGUAAAGGCUCACCUAGGCGACGAUCAGUAGCGGGUCUGAGAGGAUGAUCCGCCACACUGGGACUGAGACACGGCCCAGACUCCUACGGGAGGCAGCAGUGGGGAAUUUUGGACAAUGGGCGAAAGCCUGAUCCAGCCAUGCCGCGUGUCUGAAGAAGGCCUUCGGGUUGUAAAGGACUGUUGUCGGGGAGGAAAUCCCCAGCGUUAAUACCGCUGGGGGAUGACAGUACCUGAAGAAUAAGCACCGGCUAACUACGUGCCAGCCGCCGCGGUAACAC